rnacentral:rRNA from 1 species
GACGAACGCUGGCGGCGUGCCUAAUACAUGCAAGUUGAGCGCUGAAGGUUGGUACUUGUACCAACUGGAUGAGCAGCGAACGGGUGAGUAACGCGUGGGGAAUCUGCCUUUGAGCGGGGGACAACAUUUGGAAACGAAUGCUAAUACCGCAUAAAAACUUUAAACACAAGUUUUAAGUUUGAAAGAUGCAAUUGCAUCACUCAAAGAUGUUCCCGCGUUGUAUUAGCUAGUUGGUGAGGUAAAGGCUCACCAAGGCGAUGAUACAUAGCCGACCUGAGAGGGUGAUCGGCCACAUUGGGACUGAGACACGGCCCAAACUCCUACGGGAGGCAGCAGUAGGGAAUCUUCGGCAAUAGACGAAAGUCUGACCGAGCAACGCCGCGUGAGUGAAGAAGGUUUUCGGAUCGUAAAACUCUGUUGGUAGAGAAGAACGUUGGUGAGAGUGGAAAGCUCAUCAAGUGACGGUAACUACCCAGAAAGGGACGGCUAACUACGUG